GAUGAUGACGACUCUCUGCCACCGUUUGGUUCGGGGUUAAGAAAAAAUAGCUAUUCCAGGAAUAGGGUUAAGUUUAGAAUUAAAAUGGUGUUAAAAUUUUUUUGUGUUUGGUUCGAGGUUGGAGUUAGUGUAGGAUAGUGAAAAAAAGUGUUUGGUUGGAGUAGGUGGGAUAAGAAGAUAAUGAUUGAUAAAAAAGAAAAAGGUGAGGGCUCGGAAUGCGUGCGGGGUUAAAGUUAGGAGGGGAAGUGAGGUUAAUGAUUGAUAAAGAAGAAAAAGGUGAGGGUUCGGGAUGCGUGCGGGGUUAAAGUUGGAAGGGGGAGUGGGGUUAGUAAACCCCACUAACCCGGUUUGGGGUGUAGUUUACUAACCCCACCCUUUAAGAGUGGUGUUUGGGUAUAAAUUGGGGGUUAAGGGGUUAUUCCACCC
rnacentral:lncRNA from 1 species